rnacentral:tRNA from 1 species
AAAUAAGAAGCUUUAAUGCAUUUAAUUUCGACUUAAAAGAUUGAGUUAUUACUCCUUAUUUAUA